UACGAAGGGGGCUAGCGUUGCUCGGAAUCACUGGGCGUAAAGGGUGCGUAGGUGGCGAGGUAAGUUCGAUGUGAAAUCUCCGAGCUCAACUCGGAAAUGGCAUUGAAUACUAUCCCGCUGGAGGGUCGGAGGGGAGACUGGAAUUCUCGGUGUAGCAGUGAAAUGCGUAGAUAUCGAGAGGAACACCGGUGGCGAAGGCGGCCAACUGGACGAGUACUGACGCUGAGACACGAAAGCGUGGGGAGCAAACAGG
rnacentral:rRNA from 1 species